rnacentral:rRNA from 1 species
UACGGAGGGUGCAAGCGUUAAUCGGAAUUACUGGGCGUAAAGCGCACGCAGGUGGCUAAGUCAGUCGAUUGUGAAAGCCCUGGGCUUAACCUGGGAAUUGCAGUCGAUACUACUUAGCUUGAGUAUGGGAGAGGGCAGUGGAAUUCCCGGUGUAGCGGUGAAAUGCGUAGAUAUCGGGAGGAACAUCAGUGGCGAAGGCGGCUGCCUGGCCCAAUACUGACACUCAGGUGCGACAGCGUGGGGAGCAAACAGG